rnacentral:rRNA from 1 species
UACAGAGGUCUCAAGCGUUGUUCGGAUUCAUUGGGCGUAAAGGGUGCGUAGGCGGCGCGGUAAGUCGGGUGUGAAAUCUCGGGGCUUAACUCCGAAACUGCAUUCGAUACUGCCGUGCUUGAGGACUGGAGAGGAGACUGGAAUUUACGGUGUAGCGGUUAAAUGCGUAGAUAUCGUAAGGAAGACCAGUGGCGAAGGCGGGUCUCUGGACAGUUCCUGACGCUGAGGCACGAAGGCCAGGGGAGCAAACGGG